rnacentral:tRNA from 1 species
GCUCCCGUAGUUGAAUGGAUACAACAAGGUCCUCCUAAGACUUAGGUGCAGGUUCGAUUCCUGCCGGGAGCACCA